rnacentral:lncRNA from 1 species
GGGGGAGGUGGCCGUGCAGUUUCUGGCACUAACUCGGGUGUCCUCCUGAAGCCUUAGUUCCGCCGCGAGUAACGGUCCGUGGGAAUUAACAACCUUCGCGCCAGCGAAGGUGGGCCGGUCGCCAAUUUCAGCAGCUCCCUCUUCGCCCAGGGGCCCCAGCCUUCUUCCCUCACGCGCAUCCCCUCAAGGGAGUGACGAGCUAGGCCUUCGCUCGGCCCUGCACCUUGGGGCUCUCCCCACGCCUUCAAGGUCCAGGCGACAGGGCUGCUCGCUGAUGCUUAUCAUUUUUAUUCUUAUUUUGAGCCUCCCAGGCCCUAGACCCGAGCCUCUGGAGAGCCGGCAGCCCUCUGGGGGGGUUCGUCGUCGCCCCCCCGCUUCCCGCGGGGCCGAGGCUCGCCGCAGGGAGGGGGCGUCCACCGGGAGACGAGGAGGGGCUGGGCGGAGACAGCGGCCGUGCGCCCGCCCUUGCCCCCUGCCGGCCGGCGCGGCGCGGCUUCUGGAAGGUGCUGAGGAGGCGCGGUGAGCGGACGCUGUCUGGGCCGCGGCGCCGGUGGCGGCAGGCGUCUCCGCGCGUCCCCGUGCGCGGUGGGGUGGGCUGACCGAGAUGAGGUGCGCCAGGGCGGCUGGCGGGGCGAACGGCGCCCGCGGGCCUCCCCUCUCCACGCCGGCAAAACGGGGGCUUUUGAGAGAAUCGGGAAGGGUAGCGGGUGUGAAAGACCUUUGUAACCUUCGCCGGUGUGAGGGCUCCCUUCACAGUCUGGUUGGCAAGACGAAACACGCGAAGCCACCAGCAAAUAACCUCACAAGAGGUUUUUCCAGAGCAAGAUGGUGCUGAAAACCAGCUGUUGACGUGGCUCGGGAAAGCGCCCGCUAAGCAAGGAGAGCGUCCUGGAGGAAGCUCGCCCUGGCCCGGGACCUGGGAGGAGUGCGCUAAAUGCAGUGGAUUGUGAACUUUGGAAAAAGGACACUCCGAACAAUUGGGCAAGAACCAUAUUGAGAGCCAGAGAAGGAAUAACUAUCAACAAACGGACAUUCAUGAAGUCAAAACUUGAAUUUGAAACAGACCUUGCCCUAUAUUCUGAAUGAUUAGAACUUUCAGCUAUGUAUUAAAGUAAAUUCAUUUACAAUUGACAAAUUUUGUCCAAUUGUUU